UACGAAGGGGGCUAGCGUUGCUCGGAAUCACUGGGCGUAAAGGGUGCGUAGGCGGGUCUUUAAGUCAGGGGUGAAAUCCUGGAGCUCAACUCCAGAACUGCCUUUGAUACUGAAGAUCUUGAGUUCGGGAGAGGUGAGUGGAAGUGCGAGUGUAGAGGUGAAAUUCGUAGAUAUUCGCAAGAACACCAGUGGCGAAGGCGGCUCACUGGCCCGAUACUGACGCUGACGGACGGAAAGCGUGGGGAGCAAACAGGG
rnacentral:rRNA from 1 species